AUCACUUCAAUUCCAUGACCUUCGAAGUGUGUGACUUGGAUCAAUCAGUGGUCAUGACCACUCUUAAAGUUGGAUUGCUUAAGAAUGAUUUCCUCUUUUCACUUGAGAAAAGAUAUCCUAAAGACUUCACUAAAAUUAAUGUUGGUGAGGAAAAAAAAAAUGCAAAUAUAGAGGAGGCAUGGGCUCGGCAUGGAGAGAACCCUAGCAAUGAGCCUCAAGGAAAGAA
rnacentral:lncRNA from 1 species